rnacentral:rRNA from 1 species
UAGGGAAUCUUCCACAAUGGACGCAAGUCUGAUGGAGCAACGCCGCGUGAGUGAAGAAGGUCUUCGGAUCGUAAAGCUCUGUUGUUGGUGAAGAAGGAUAGAGGCAGUAACUGGUCUUUAUUUGACGGUAAUCAACCAGAAAGUCACGGCUAACUACGUGCCAGCAGCCGCGGUAAUACGUAGGUGGCAAGCGUUGUCCGGAUUUAUUGGGCGUAAAGCGAGCGCAGGCGGAAUGAUAAGUCUGAUGUGAAAGCCCACGGCUCAACCGUGGAACUGCAUCGGAAACUGUCAUUCUUGAGUGCAGAAGAGGAGAGUGGAACUCCAUGUGUAGCGGUGGAAUGCGUAGAUAUAUGGAAGAACACCAGUGGCGAAGGCGGCUCUCUGGUCUGCAACUGACGCUGAGGCUCGAAAGCAUGGGUAGCGAACAGGAUUAGAUACCCUGGUAGUCCAUGCCGUAAACGAUGAGCGCUAGGUGUUGGGGACUUUCCGGUCCUCAGUGCCG